GGAGGACCAGGGUUCUCUUCUCAGAGCUCAGGUAAGAAGAGGUGGGAUAGCACCACCAAGAAGCCGAAGAAGAAUAAGUUUUGGAACAAGUUGAAAUCCGGUCUGGGAUUCGGCGGUGGCUCGAGCUCAGGCUCAGAUGGUACAGAAUGCCAGAGAUGUGGAAGACCACACAGGGGAGUGUGUCGAGCUGGGACUAAUGCAUGUUUCAGAUGUGGACAGGAGGGACACAUAGCUCGGGAUUGUC
rnacentral:lncRNA from 1 species